rnacentral:rRNA from 1 species
UACAGAGGGUGCAAGCGUUAAUCGGAAUUACUGGGCGUAAAGGGUGCGUAGGCGGAACAACAAGAUGGGCGUGAAAUCCCUGGGCUCAACCUGGGAACUGCGUUCAAGACUGUUGAUCUAAGAGUGCAGUAGAGGAAAGUGGAAUUUCCGGUGUAGCGGUGAAAUGCGUAGAUAUCGGAAGGAACAUCAGUGGCGAAGGCGACUUUCUGGACUGACACUGACGCUGAGGCACGAAAGCGUGGGGAGCAAACAGG